AGAUAUUUUUAAGAAGAUGGAGUCCUUGCUGGCAGAAGAAUGUCUAUAGAAGUAACUGCAUUCACUGGGGCUCUCAGUUCCCAUGUAAGAAGUCAGCUGAUAAUUCCAAAUGAAAAACAAAGGGUGAAGGGAGGACUGGUGACAGAAAACCCACAAACAUCAACAGUGGUAACAUUUUGUAACCAAGAACUCGCUUUUAGAACAGGCUGCAGCUGUGUACGAGAAAAAAGAAAAAGCUUGCCAUGCUGAAGUAUGCCUAAAAGGCAAUGCUGCCUCUGGGAUCUCACAUUAACAUAAUGAUAAAUCUGCUGUGUAUUGCCUGAAAAUGUUGUAUGCCAAUGUGCCAGAACGUGUUUUCCCAGCACGCGUCUUGAUUAGCAUCUUAUUUACAUAUUGGCAGAAGAGCGAUCCUGUGAAAGACCUACAAAAUAAACUAUGUUUUUAACACAA